UCAUGCCGCGUGAGUGAAGAAGCCUUCGGGUUGUAAAGCUCUUUUGUCAAGAAGAAACACCGGCUCUAACACAGUCCGGGAAUGAGGUCCUGAAGAAUAAGCACCGGCUAACUACGUGCCAGCAGCCGCGGUAAUACGUAGGGUGCGAGCGUUAAUCGGAAUUACUGGGCGUAAAGCGUGCGCAGGCGGUUAUACAAGACAGGCGUGAAAUCCCCGGGCUUAACCUGGGAAUGGCGCCUGUGACUGUAUAGCUAGAGUGUGUCAGAGGGGGGUAGAAUUCCACGUGUAGCAGUGAAAUGCGUAGAUAUGUGGAGGAAUACCAAUGGCGAAGGCAGCCCCCUGGGAUAACACUGACGCUCAUGCACGAAAGCGUGGGGAGCAAACAGGAUUAGAUACCCUGGUAGUCCACGCCCUAAACGAUGCUGACUAGUUGUUCGGGAUUUACAUCCUGAGUAACGUAGCUAACGCGUGAAGUCAGCCGNCUGGGGAGUACGGUCGCAAGAUUAAAACUCAAAGGAAUUGACGGGGACCCGCACAAGCGGUGGAUGAUGUGGAUUAAUUCGAUGCAACGCGAAAAACCUUACCUACCCUUGACAUGUCACUAACGAAGUAGAGA
rnacentral:rRNA from 1 species